UGGUUCUGGCAUCGAUGAAGAACGCAGCGAAAUGCGAUAAGUAAUGUGAAUUGCAGAAUUCAGUGAAUCAUCGAAUCUUUGAACGCACAUUGCGCCCACUAGUAUUCUGGUGGGCAUGCCUGUUCGAGCGUCAUUAAGUCCACUCAAGCCUAGUUGCUUGGAAUUGGGAGAAUAGGUUUUACCCUAUCUCCUCAAAGACAGCGGCGGAGUCGUGUCAUCCUCUGAGCUUAGUAAUUACUUUUCUAGCUUGUGAGCGAGGCGUGCCCCUUGCCGUAAAACACCCAUCUUUCUUAUGGUUGACCUCGGAUCAGGUAGGAAUACCCGCUGA
rnacentral:misc_RNA from 1 species